UGGUGGAGUGAUUUGUCUGCUUAAUUGCGUUAACGAACGAGAUCUCUGCCAAUAAAUAGAUGCUGCUUCCGAUUGUAGGCUGGUGUUCUUGGGGGGGUCUCCUUUCCCAAGUUCUACCGGCUGAGGAGGCAGAAAGUUACUUAUUGGGAUUAUGCAUUCUUCUAAAUGCAUUGAGACGAGAGCCAAUAGCA
rnacentral:rRNA from 1 species